rnacentral:rRNA from 1 species
UGGGGAAUUUUGGACAAUGGGCGCAAGCCUGAUCCAGCAAUGCCGCGUGAGUGAAGAAGGCCUUCGGGUUGUAAAGCUCUUUUGUCAGGGAAGAAACGGUAUCCUCUAAUACAGGGUGCUAAUGACGGUACCUGAAGAAUAAGCACCGGCUAACUACGUGCCAGCAGCCGCGGUAAUACGUAGGGUGCAAGCGUUAAUCGGAAUUACUGGGCGUAAAGCGUGCGCAGGCGGUUAUAUAAGUCAGAUGUGAAAUCCCCGGGCUCAACCUGGGAACUGCAUUUGAGACUGUAUGGCUAGAGUGUGUCAGAGGGGGGUAGAAUUCCACGUGUAGCAGUGAAAUGCGUAGAUAUGUGGAGGAAUACCGAUGGCGAAGGCAGCCCCCUGGGAUAACACUGACGCUCAUGCACGAAAGCGUGGGGAGCAAACAGGAUUAGAUACCCUGGUAGUCCACGCCCUAAACGAUGUCUACUAGUUGUCGGGACUUAAUUGUCUUGGUAACGCAGCUAACGCGUGAAGUAGACCGCCUGGGGAGUACGGUCGCAAGAUUA